rnacentral:rRNA from 1 species
UACGUAGGGCGCAAGCGUUUGUCCGGAAUCAUUGGGCGUAAAGAGCUCGUAGGUGGUCUGUUACGUCUGCUGUGAAAUCCUAGGGCUUAACCCUGGGCCUGCAGUGGAUACGGGCAGACUAGAGGUAGGUAGGGGAGAACGGAAUUCCUGGUGUAGCGGUGAAAUGCGCAGAUAUCAGGAGGAACACCGGUGGCGAAGGCGGUUCUCUGGGCAUGUCCUGACGCUGAGGAGCGAAAGUGUGGGGAGCGAACAGG